rnacentral:rRNA from 1 species
GCUCCUACGGGAGGCAGCAGUAGGGAAUUUUCGGCAAGGGGGAAACCCUGACCGAGCAACGCCGCGUGAGCGAAGAAGGCCUUCGGGUCGUAAAGCUCUGUUGUAAAGGAAGAACGGCGCAUACAGGAAAUGGUAUGCGAGUGACGGUACUUUACCAGAAAGCCACGGCUAACUACGUGC